AAAGGAAACCCUGGCCCGGGUCCUAUCGUGUCCUUCAGGAAGAUGCAUGAAGGAGAGACAGACCUGGCUCACAGCAGCUGUCAGCCCUGCGCUGAAAAGCAGCCCUCUCCAGGGAGGCGUGCCUCGGCUCCCCUACCCCUGAGAUGAAAUAAUGGCUCAGACAAGGGGUUUGAAGCCAUCAAUGGACUGACAGCAUAAUACCCAUGACUUGCACAGUGUGUGUCUCUCAGCUGCAGAAAUAAGGGCAGGAUAAUUUUAGCUCUGCGUGUCUUAGCAGGGCUCCAUCUCUCCUGCCACCAAGCUGGCUCCAGACAGAGGCCAGUUGGGUCCUUCGGCAGCGAGGCCCUCCGAUCCUGGGUCGUUGUGUCAAAUAAAUGUGAAACACUUGCAAGCAGCAGAAUCCAACUCUGGACAACUUCACCGAUGAGAUAGCUCCCAGACUCAAGAGAAAAAAAUGGAAGCUCAGGCUCCAGAAAAGGCAAGGACCAGGGAAACGCCAAGAUUCCAGGUUACAGAAGUGAAGUUUCCUCAGGGCAGCCCUGUCAAAAUUAAUCAACUCCAUUCAUUUUUCCCACCUUGUGUUACUCAGCUCAAGCUUCAUCUUUCCAAGAGAGAGAGGCUGAUUGGUGUAGCGUAGGUCACACACGCAGCCUCCUUACCAGUGGAGGGCACAGAACUGGAUUCACACAAGCACCUUACUCAGCAAAUUAAGUCACUAUCAGCCCAAAAGGCUUCAGGCUGGACAUGAACAGGCGAUGAGCCAGUACCCCCUGCACGGAGCCACUCCCCUCAUGACUUACCUUCUCCAGGUAGGAGUUUAAGACACUAUUUCCAGCAAGGAUUGGCCUUCUAAGCAGGAGGUGUGGCUGCUACAUCAUGAUAUAUUCCAAUCACAAAAGCCAGACAGAGCCCCUCGACCCUAAACAUCAGCCUGGUGCCUAUCAUUCUGCCAUUAAAAUGUCGUUUUUCCACUUUCUGAGAUUCCUUUACAAAAUGACAGAGGUCCCACCUGGUCAGCAAAUACUUUACCUUUGCAAACAUUUGCUCUCCUUGAGCUGAGAACCAAAAUAGGACACAGGCUGGGUACCUGACUGGAAGCAGAACACCCGACUAGGACAAGACCCAGAAGGGAGGAAAGGAGGACUGAGAAGUGACUGGGGACACACACUAGUGACAAAUAUUGAGACAGCUACUCAGUGGACCAGGGUCAGCCAGCAUUGGCCCCACAUUGAGCUGUGGGACCAUUCAGCUAAGUGAUGUGACAUCACCCUACUCUCUGUCUGCCAAGCUCUUGACAUCUGCAUUCAGAGCCAGGAUUAUGCUGGCCCCAGACGUUGGCUAAGUUCCGGAAGUCUCCAGACACUGCACACCACCAUGUCAAUCCCUAUUUUCCUCCUUUUCUUUCCACCGUUCUAGCCCUUCUCGUUGGUGUUAUGUUUAGAAAGCAAAAUUCUCGAGGAGAUGCACACAUAGCUCUCUGUAGUUGAAGGUGAGCAUAAUAACAACAGCAAAGGCAACAACUAAAGAGCUUAUUAAAUGCCAGGAACUUAAUAUUAUCUUAUUUCUUCCCCUACAAUAACCCUGCAGGUGGGCUUUGUUACUUCCAUUUAACAGGUAAGGAAAUUGAAGUCUAGGACGUUAAGGAACUUGUCGCACAGACAGAAAGUGGCAGGGCUGGAACUCAAAUCUAACUGCAAAGCCUCAAACACACUCAUCCCCUCUUGGACAGGGGUCUGACAUCAUCAUGUCCUAAUCACGCAGGAAGGCUAGCUGCAUACCCACAAAGGACUCAUGAAAACGUGGCAGUUUUUCCUGAAGUUUUUACUCAGGUGUUCAGAAUGUAAACACAUACGACUACUUAGACGUCAAUCCACAGCCACACUCAACUUUGUUACUCUGGUUGCAGAGAGCUCAAAUCCUACACUAGAAGCUAAGUAAAUAAAUGUAUCUCGUUGAAUCUAAAUUCUACCACGAAAUCCAGCUAUCUUUUUAGUCUUUCUAGAGUCCUUAUUGAUAUAUCUUUUCAAUGUGUUCACAAAUCACCCACGGCUAGAACAUAAAAAUGUCCCUGGCUUGGAACACCAUAGGAACAGCAUUUACACCUUUUUAAAAUGUG
ensembl:lncRNA